rnacentral:rRNA from 1 species
UACGGAAGGGGGCUAGCGUUGCUCGGGAAUCACUGGGCGUAAAGCGCACGUAGGCGGAUUGUUAAGUCAGGGGUGAAAUCCUGGAGCUCAACUCCAGAACUGCCUUUGAUACUGACGAUCUGAGUUCGGGAGAGGUGAGUGGAACUGCGAGUGUAGAGGUGAAAUUCGUAGAUAUUCGCAAGAACACCAGUGGCGAAGGGCGGCUCACUGGCC